GAUGAACGCUAGCUACAGGCUUAACACAUGCAAGUCGAGGGGCAGCAUUGGAGUAGCAAUACUUCAGAUGGCGACCGGCGCACGGGUGAGUAACACGUAUCCAACCUGCCGCUUACUCGGGGAUAGCCUUUCGAAAGAAAGAUUAAUACCCGAUGGUAUAAAGAGUUCGCAUGUUCUCUUUAUUAAAGAAUUUCGGUAAGCGAUGGGGAUGCGUUCCAUUAGAUAGUUGGCGGGGUAACGGCCCACCAAGUCUACGAUGGAUAGGGGUUCUGGGAGGAAGGUCCCCCACAGUGGAACUGAGACACGGUCCAAAGUCCUACGGGAGGCAGCAGUGAGGAAUAUUGGUCAAUGGACGAUAGUCUGAACCAGCCAAGUAGCGGUAAGGAUGACUGCCCUAUGGGUUGUAAACUUCUUUUAUAAGGGAAUAAAGUGAGGGACGUGUCCCUUUUUGUAUGUACCUUAUGAGUAAGGAUCGGCUAACUCCGUGCCAGCCGCCGCCGUAAAAC
rnacentral:rRNA from 1 species